AGGGUCUUUGUGCAGUUCUGCAAAUCACUAUGUAGACCAGGCUGGCUUAGAACUCACAGAUAUCUGUCUGCUUCUGUCUCCAGAGUGCAGAGGUCCCUAGGUGUUUGUGAGCCACCAUGUCUGCCCUAGGUGUUGUGAAAUAGGUGGUGUCUAUAUCUAUAAAAAGAGGUGCUCUUUCUCCCUUUCCAGGUGAGCUCCAAAGAAGUGAAUAAGUUUCAGAUGGUAAGUUCCAUUUGCUUGCUCUCCAUUCUUCCUUGAGGCGAGCCAUGCUGCUCAGGGUAGGAACCGGACCUCACCGCUUGCCUGUGCUCUUAUUUUAUGAAAAUAGGUCACCUGGGUUUUCCCUGCUUGCCUGCCUGCCUGCCUUUUUCUUUUUCUGGUUUUCUGAGACAGGGUUUCUCUGUGUAGCCCUGUUGUCCUGGACCUCACUCUGUAGACCAGGCUGGCCUUGAUUCCUUUCCAUCUUUAAGACUAGUUCUUUCCUAAACUUCAGACAUGCUCUAUAUUGCUGAGUAGGACAUUGCCUGCAGUUUUUCCUUUUUGUUUGAAAGGAGUGUGAAGCUUGCAGCUCCCUGUGGAAUACGUCUCAGGAGCUGCUGAAGGAGUGCAGACACCGUGGCACCCGGGUUGCCAGUAUAGGUGUCGCAGUAGGCUUUCUCAUGCCAGCCACUCUAAGUCCCAUGGAAAGUCUCCUGCUUCCCAGUUUGUACCUUUUCU
rnacentral:lncRNA from 1 species